GACGAACGCUGGCGGCGUGCUUAACACAUGCAAGUCGAACGGAAAGGCCCUGCUUUUGUGGGGUGCUCGAGUGGCGAACGGGUGAGUAACACGUGAGUAACCUGCCCUUGACUUUGGGAUAACUUCAGGAAACUGGGGCUAAUACCGGAUAGGAGCUCCUGCUGCAUGGUGGGGGUUGGAAAGUUUCGGCGGUAGGGGAUGGACUCGCGGCUUAUCAGCUUGUUGGUGGGGUAGUGGCUUACCAAGGCUUUGACGGGUAGCCGGCCUGAGAGGGUGACCGGCCACAUUGGUACUGAGAUACGGCCCAGACUCCUACGGGAGGCAGCAGUGGGGAAUAUUGCACAAUGGGCGGAAGCCUGAUGCAGCAACGCCGCGUGCGGGAUGACGGCCUUCGGGUUGUAAACCGCUUUCGCCUGUGACGAAGCGUGAGUGACGGUAAUGGGUAAAGAAGCACCGGCUAACUACGUG
rnacentral:rRNA from 1 species